GCAAAUACAAACAAUCUUUCAUAAAAAAGAAAAAAUUCAUCUCAGUGCCACAACUGCAACGAGUUUCAAUGCUAUUAACAGAGGACUCUAGUUCAUCCUAGUUCUUUAGCUUUUUUAGAACCCAAUCCUCAAGCUUUUCUCUGUACGAUGAAUAGGCCAAUUCUCAAGCACUGAGAAAACCAGAGAUAAAUUACAGCAACCCAAGAGAAUUGGUCUGCAAAUGAAUCAAAGCAAUUUUUCGAAACAUUUCCAUUUUGCGCAAACUUUGUU
rnacentral:lncRNA from 1 species